rnacentral:tRNA from 1 species
GGAGGCGUAGCCAAGUGGUAAGGCCGAGGUCUGCAAAACCUCUAUCGUCAGUUCGAUUCUGACCGCCUCCUCCA